rnacentral:rRNA from 1 species
AUGGCAGUUUCGAGAGCGCUCGUCCUCGGCGUCCUGCUGGCGAUCGCCGUCGCCAAUGCCGAGGCAGCGUCCGUCGUGGUCGGCCAGGUCAAGUGCACCGACUGCACCAGGAAGAACUUGAAGGCCGAGGAAGCCUUCAAGGGUGGCGAUCAAGUGCAAGAACGUCCACCGCGACUACGAGAGCAAGGCGGUGGGUGCCCUGGACUGCACCGGCGCCUUCAGCGUGCCCCUGGCCGCCGACCUCCAUGGCGCCGACUGCGUCUCGCAGCUCCACAGCGCUGCCUCCAACGCGCCGUGCUCCGGCCAGGAGCCAUCCAAGAUCGUGCCGGUGUCCGAGGGCACCACCUUCGGCAUCAUGGCCGGCGCCAACACUGCCACGCCGUCCGCGGCGUCGCCUGA